AACUUCCUUCGAGAAGGAUUUCUGCCCUUGCCAGCCGAGCGAACUCUCCAGAAAAGGAUAGAAGGAGUCAAGUUUCAGACAGGGCUUCUUCGAGAACUUCUUCCUGCAGUGGAGUGCAAAGUUGCAACUAUGGGUCCCCAAGAGCGACACUGUGUGCUGCUCAUGGAUGAGAUGCAGCUGACACCUGGCCUGGAGUAUGACUGCACAACAAAGACCGUGAUUGGGCAAACAACUUUGAAAGGCUGCAAGCUGCCGAGCAAUGAUGGCAUCGUAACCUUUGCAACGCAUGGGCUGGUGUUUAUGCUGGCCGGUCUAUCCACAAGGUGGAAACAAGUCAUUGGUUACCAUUUCACAGGCAGUUCUGUGUCAUCGGACGACCUGAAAAAGAUUGUCUUUGAGAUUAUUGUGGAGUGCGAGAAAAUU